GGUCCCACGUCUAUCAACACCCACCAGCUGUGUUUUCCCACUGGUAGGGGCAGGAUAGCCGAAUAGCUGGAGUCACGAGACCAAGGUUCUACUAGGGAGCCACGGUGAGGUGAGCAGAUGUAGUGGGACAGGAUCGCUUCAACACUUUGCUCUAACUUCAUAAAUCAAGGAUUUCAUCUAGACAGGUGCUUCCUGUCCGGACUUUGACGUAAAAUUAAACACAAGUCCAGAUGUGAAGUGUGUGUGUCCCUGCGUG